rnacentral:rRNA from 1 species
GAUGAACGCUAGCGGCAGGCCUAAUACAUGCAAGUCAAGGGGCUCGCAAGAGCACCGGCGGACGGGUGCGUAACGCGUACACAACGUACCUUAGAGCGGGGGAUAGCAUUGGGAAACUGGUGGUAAAACCGCAUGGUGUUGUUGAAUGGCAUCAUUUAGCAACUAAAGAAUACACUCUAAGAUCGGUGUGCGUCUGAUUAGCUAGUUGGCGGGGUAACGGCCCACCAAGGCGACGAUCAGUAGGGGGUGUGAGAGCAUGACCCCCCACAUGGGUACUGAGACACGGACCCAACUCCUACGGGAGGCAGCAGUAAGGAAUAUUGGACAAUGGGCGGAAGCCUGAUCCAGCCAUGCCGCGUGAAGGAUGAAGGCGCUCAGCGUUGUAAACUUCUUUUGGACAGGAACAAUACCCCCGACGAGCUCGGGGCUUGAGGGUACUGUCAGAAUAAGCACCGGCUAACUCCGUG